GAUUAUCAACUUCCGGUCUAUACUGGAUGAUAGUUUUUUUAAAGUCAUAUAUAAUAUUUCUUGAUUGGGAGGAAAUAUAAUUUUAUCAUCAUAGUUAACAGAUCUUCAAGAGUAAAAAAAAAAAGCCAUCUUAGUUUAAGGAUUAGUUUAUAGUGAAAUUGUAAUUUUUAAGAAAGCUGGGCAUUCUAUAAAAACCUUCAAGAACUUAUUAAAAAUUGGUAUUUUUUAAUUCUCUAGAACCACAUAGUAGAAUGAAUAACUUGCUAAUUUUAUUCUUAAAAACCUCAUGUUUAUGUUUUUUGAUUUGUGUUUGUAUAUUUAAACACUUUGUGCGACUUUCAGCUACUCUGGGCAGUUGAAAAGUAGAAAGUCAUACAUGAUACCUGAAAAUGAGUUUCAUCACAAAGACCCCCCUCCGAGGAAUGCAGUUGCCAGUGUGCAAAAUGGGCCUGGUGGUGGGCCUUCUUCAUCAUCAAUAGGAAGUGCAUCUAAAUCGGAUGAAAGCAGUACUGAGGAGACUGAUAAAUCAAGGGAGAGAUCUCAGUGUGGUGUGAAAGCUGUUAAUAAAGCUUCUAGUACCACACCUAAAGGGAAUUCAAGCAAUGGAAAUAGUGGCUCUAACAGCAACAAAGCUGUUAAAGAAAAUGACAAAGAAAAAGGGAAAGAAAAAGAAAAAGAGAAAAAAGAAA
rnacentral:sRNA from 1 species